rnacentral:misc_RNA from 1 species
UACGUAGGUGGCAAGCGUUGUCCGGAAUUAUUGGGCGUAAAGCGCGCGCAGGCGGCCUCUUAAGUCUGAUGUGAAAGCCCCCGGCUCAACCGGGGAGGGCCGUUGGAAACUGGGAGGCUUGAGUAAAGGAGAGAAGAGUGGAAUUCCACGUGUAGCGGUGAAAUGCGUCGAUAUGUGGACGAACACCAGUGGCGAAGGCGCCUAUUUGGCCUAUAACUGACGCGGAGGCGCGAAAGCGUGGGGAGCAAACAGG